AGGUGAAGGAAGGAGGAACUUGAACUGGGGGUCUCCAACAUCUAGUUGUUUGAAUAUGAUUAUUGGACUACGAUUGGACAUUUUAAGCAGUCCAUCAUGGCACAAAAAGAAAAUGAACCUUUGCCCUACAAGAGGUAAUGAAGGAGGCAAUCUGGAGCCAGCCCCAUUGUGAAUCUCUGUCAGAAGAGUGAAGUGGCUCAUGAACAAAGACAAUGGGGCAGAGGAAGGCGGCUUUGAGUAUACCACAGCAUCAGCAACUGAGAAUGAUUCAUAGUAGAGGCACCGAAAAUUAUUGCAUUUGGGUGUUUGGUUUAUACAUUCUUUUCUGACAACUGAAAAUAAAAGUAAAAAACUGAUUAAAUGCUAAACAUUGUUCCUCAAAUAAUGUAUU